CCUGACUGCUAUCGGAUUGAUAUUAAGCCAUGCGAGUCUUUGUAGCAAUACAAGGCAGACGGCUCAGUAACACGUAGUCAAUUUACCCUAUGGACGGGGAUAACCUCGGGAAACUGAGAAUAAUACCCGAUAGAUCAUUAUUCCUGGAAUGGUUUAUGGUUCAAAUGAUUUUUCGCCAUAGGAUGAGACUGCGGUCUAUCAGCUUGUUGGUGAGGUAAUGGCCCACCAAGGCUAUAACAGAUACGGGCUCUGAGAGGAGAAGCCCGGAGAUGGGUACUGAGACACGGACCCAGGUCCUAUGGGGCGCAGCAGGCGAGAAAACUUUGCAAUGUGCGAAAGCACGACAAGGUUAAUCCGAGUGUUUUCUGCUAAAGAAAUCUUUUGUCAGUCCUAAAAACACUGACGAAUAAGGGGUGGGCAAGUUCUGGUGUCAGCCGCCGCGGUAAAACCAGCACCUCAAGUGGUCAGGAUGAUUAUUGGGCCUAAAGCAUCCGUAGCCGGCUCUGUAAGUUUUCGGUUAAAUCUAUAUGCUCAACAUAUAGGCUGCCGGGAAUACUGCACAGCUAGGGAGUGGGAGAGGUAGACGGUACUCGGUAGGAAGGGGUAAAAUCCUUUGAUCUAUCGAUGACCACCUGUGGCGAAGGCGGUCUACUAGAACACGUUCGACGGUGAGGGAUGAAAGCUAGGGGAGCAAACCGGAUUAGAUACCCGGGUAGUCCUAGCCGUAAACUAUGCAAACUCAGUGAUGCACUGGCUUGUGGCCAGUGCAGUGCCGCAGGGAAGCCGUUAAGUUUGCCGCCUGGGAAGUACGUACGCAAGUAUGAAACUUAAAGGAAUUGGCGGGGGAGCACCACAAGGGGUGAAGCCUGCGGUUC
rnacentral:rRNA from 1 species